rnacentral:tRNA from 1 species
GCCGCGGUAGCUCAGCUCGGGAGAGCACUCGGCUGAAGACCGAGGUGUCGCUUGUUCAAAGGCCAACCAGGGGGAAGCCCCCUCCAAAACUGGAGACUGGAAACUGUUGACUGGAGUUCAGGCCCGCGGCA